rnacentral:rRNA from 1 species
UACAUAGGGGGCGAGCGUUAUCCGGAAUUAUUGGGUGUAAAGGGUGCGUAGACGGGAAUUUAAGUUAGUAGUGAAAACCCCAGGCUUAACUUGGGAAUUGCUACUAAGACUGGAUUUCUUGAGUACUGGAGAGGAAAGUGGAAUUCCUAGUGUAGCGGUGAAAUGCGUAGAUAUUAGGAGGAACACCAGUGGCGAAGGCGACUUUCUGGACAGAAACUGACGUUGAGGCACGAAAGUGUGGGGAGCAAAC